ensembl:lincRNA 2810032G03Rik uncharacterized LOC110307248
CCUGCAGCCGCGCGCCGGGCCCCAGGCUCAAUGCCAGCGGGUGUGUCCAUGGUUGGUCCGCCGCCCCCGCCCCCUGCAAAGAUUCCCGGCUCGCCGGGCUCCGUGGCCGCGCCGGUAGACUCACGACGCAUGGCCGGGCUGCUGGGCCAUGGCCUCCGGGUUCCGAGAGCCCGGGCUUCAAGGAAACGGACUGAAGGGAGCUUCCCUGCUGCUCUCAACACCUGAGGAAACUGGUGGAAAAGUUUGAGAAAGAAAAGUCCAAUCGUCUUUCAGCUUCCGCCCUCCCUAUGACACUCCAGCCUCGAAAAGGAGUAGGGAACGUCCACAUCUCCGAAAGACCACCGCGAGCCACGCCAGUCCUGUGUCUUCUUGCAUCUGCCCUGACUUCUGAGCAUAUGCGAACUUUCCUGUUUUCACAGACCUCCCUGGGUUGCUCAGAUCACACAGGCCUGAUUUGACACUCCAGCUGCAGCCAACCCUCCCAAGGUCCACACUGACCAAGUCUUCCUCUCUUCCUAUUCAUGCUGUCUACGCAGACCCUAACUGGAACACUAAGAGGAAACUUUGGCUGGAGACCUGUGGCUACUGGCGUGGGUGUGAGCUUUUUCAUCUCCCCAGAACACUUCUUUUCUGUGCCUGUCUUCCUUGGGUUGCUAACUCUGCAGGAUGAAGCAUCCCUGUCAAGAUGAGAGCAGUGUAUGGAGGAGUAUGCCUAGGCUUGGACUGCUGGGGUCUGCAUUCUUGUGCUUCUCCAGUCAGCAGGAGAUAAUCUGGAUAAGCCAGAGUUGCAGAAGGAAGAGACUCAAGCAAUGGACCCAACUCAAGCUCAACCUGGUGGGGCCAACCCCAGAAACCGUGCAAACUCAUAAAUGAAAAGAAAGUUUUCUGCUGUAAGGCUCCAAGACUUGGGGAUUAUCUGAUAGACAAGAUUAUCAUAGAAAAGCUAACAGAUGGGUAUGCUAUAAUAUCUUUUGCAUGGACUGCAUUGCCUAGACCUCUGUGCUGAGGGUGUCAGGCAGGGAUAAUUGCUUUGUUUCAUGCCAUCAAGAUUUAGGAAAUGAUUUCCAUUUUUGUCCAUGUAGAACUCCUUCCAUGACCUUUUCCUGAAGUAUGCAUUGUUCACCACAUUUACAAGAUUCCACCUCCUCCCACUGAGCCACUUCUAGUCUCUCAGUCCUGUCUGCUGCUGACAAUGGCUUUGCCUAUGCUGGGAAGACAUCAGGUUUAGAGAAAGACUGAAUGAGUGGAAUUCAGAGAGAUGAGGGUUCCUUGAAGGUGCAACAAAGCACAGAGACACUUAGUUGGUUGAGCCUCCUGAGAGAGCAGAGAAGGGAAAGGCUUCAUGCUCACCAUGAUGAUAGGUGAGACCCGGCAUGCCCAAACUAGGGCAUUUGUGAUGUGAGGUGGACACCAUGUAAACAUGCCUACCUUUGUCCCACCUAUCACAGACAGGCGGGGUGUGUGGCCUUCCCAAUGCCCUUGCCUCUAACUCUGAAAUGAAAUCUCCAAUAGCUGAGUGGGGUGUGACGUGGAGAACAGUAAGCAAGAGAUUCGGAUUCAGGCAGAAACUGAACCAAAGGAGUCAAAGCCCCAGAGAAAAGGCUGAAGGGGCUUGGUGAGGACAAAAUAAAACACCAGACACAUUUAUACAGGUCUCCCUACCUCUCUGAACAAAACAAUUAUGAGAUAAGAGAGGCACAGAUGGGAGGAAAUUCUUUCAUUUUUCACAUUGCAAGCUAGAGAGCUCCAAUAGGCUGUUUCUGAAGAACAAUAAAGAAGGUAGCGCACUCAGUAAAGAGGUUGUUACAAAUGUGUCGGGUGCUUUGAAAACGCAGGGUUUCUCCCCGCUUUUGGAUAAAGCUGUCAGCUGAGUAUUAAAGGAUUUCUUUUUCUUUCUCUGUCUUUUUUUCCUUCCUCUUGUUUUUUUUUUUUCCUUCUUCUUCCCCCAAAGCAAUAAACUACACCAGUGGUUUGUUACAAUUGGCAGAAAGAGUUAUCAUUUUUUCUUUAGGAUUUGGAAAUGCAAUCAAAGACGGGCAGAUCGGAGCCCGAAUUAAAUGAAGCUUAAAC